CGGAUGGCGGCGGCCCCGGCCGGAGGCAAUAAAACACCGGGAAUGAUGCGGCAAAACGGGCCGGAGCUGCGUGGCGAAAUAAAUCAUCCCACGCGGAGGAGGCGGUUUUCUGCCCGGCCUUUCGCGUUGGCCCCCGACAAAGCCCCGGCGGGCAGCGAGGGCCGGGCUGGAUGCGGCCCUGCACGGCGCCCCCGGCCGCUGCCAUCAUCUCCUCCCACCUCCCUCGCCUUCACCUUGGAGCGAGCGGCUCGCCGAGCUGCCAGCGGUGAUAAAAUGGCUGUGCCCCGAAUUUAUGGGGCUUAUCUAGCCAUUUAAUUGCCUUCUGCGGCGGCGAAGAUGUGAAAUUAGUCUCCCUUCUGAUCUUGAGCUAAGUUGGUCCAAAGCACCGUCUUAUAAUUUGCUCAGAUCAUCUCGCCGUCGGGUGGUGGAAGACACGGGGCCGGGGCUGCAGGGAGCACUGGAGUUCACACGGGACAGGAGUUCCACCUCGCUGUCCUGGAGUCACGCUGCUGGGUUCGCUUGCGUAGGAAUGGCAAUAUUUAGACUCGGUGCCACUUGCAGGAAGCUUUCAAUCAAGUGCUCUUCUCCAUCUCCCCUAGCAACAGCCGAGAAACGGAGCCGGUCUGGGGGACGGGGGAGAAGCUGAGGCAGGGGCAGCAGCAGGAAGAUGCCUGUCCCCAUCCAUCCUCUGCUGUCCCCGUGCUGGGGACAGCCUCCCUGACCUCCCGUCCAGGCUGGGCGCCUGCAGACGGACCUUUGGAGGCAUCAAAGGAGGUGGAGAUUCCAGCCCCUAUUGAAUUUCUAGUCCCCAACGACCUGAGGGGCAGGGGAAAGAAGGGAACUGGUUUUUGUCUGCUCGGUAUCUCAGACAAUCAAUGAAUUAAAGGGAAAUAAACUGCUGAUGAGGAGCGAACGUGGAGCUCGACGUGCUGCAAAACGUGAGGAGCAGAGAAGCGGCCGUGGCCAUUCCACUGUGCGGGGCAGGAAAGGGACGAUGGUGUGGGCACAGAGAAGGCCUUUCUUUCAUUUGUUCCUGGCCAAGAGCACACGCAGAUCGCCCUGGGGACACCGGCACUUUCCUCCUCCGCGCAGAAUGUGCUGAAUGCGAGGGUAUUAUUUUUAACAGGGAUAUUUAGCUCCUCUUUACCCUCGUGUAGGUGGUUUACCCUCCACGGCCUCAAUCCCAGGGGAGGCUCCCGGUCAUCGCCCGGCCCGUAAGAACAGCGGAGGAGCAGCAGAGGCUCACAGACACGAGCUGUGCCUCGCCGUGACCGGGAGUUCAGUCCGGCCUCGCUGUGGGAGCGCGUGGAGCACAAAGCCGGGCCCCGCUCGCUCCUUCCACACGGGAUCUGACGACUCCCAGCCCGACGCUUCCCGACCCCCUCCAUCGCGAUCAGCUCUUUCUGCUCGCCGCAGGGCGAGUCGGGCCCUGCUCAGAC
ensembl:lncRNA